GGCCACAUCUGCCAGAGCCUGGAGUCUGCGAAGGCCGGGACCCGGUUCCCCGGCCCACCGUGGGGGGGGGUGUGCAAACCCGAGAGAACUGGGUUGCAAAUUCGUGAAGAAUCAGCAUCAUGUUUGGCAGCUGAGUAUUGGAGCCAGGAGCCUGCCAUGAGCCGAUGCAGCCUCAGUGUUCCUUUGCCUUGGGGGUUUCUGAGUGGGGGGGUUGUAAGCAGAUCCUGCCAGGCACCCAGAAGGAAACCUCAUCAGGACUCCCUCAGAAAGCAGGCCCUGAAGAAUCCUGUGACCUUCCUCUAAAGUAGGUCGUGAGACCCCUGAGCUUAAAACGGAGUGAUCGGCUUUGGAGAAGUAAGGAGACAUGACGUGCCUGCCCUGGGGUGGGGACUAAACUUCGUGCCACUCCAUGUGAAAGGGGGAGAAAUCCCUGGAAGGCACGCAGGCUGGACAUCAUCAUAUAUUCUCUACAGAUGGAGACACCAAAGCCCACGCCUUCUGUGCUGUUGGAAUUUCAGGAAGGAUGGGGGUGGGGCACGGCCUCAGCCCUGGGCAUGUUCUGCAGAUUGCACUGCUCUUAUCUGCCAGGGGGUGGUGAGAGGGUGGCUGAGCUGGACAGAUGGCGGGCAGGGACGGGCUCUGCGGUCUGGCAGCUGACAUUGAUACAAGCAAAUAAAGUCCUUGCUGGGG
rnacentral:lncRNA from 1 species